UAGAACUGUUGCGCAUAUAGGAUCCCAGCACAUGCAAGAUGAGGGCUUUAGCCACUAGGCUACAGUGCCGGGCCUGGAAAAUGGAUAUAUGUGGGCUACAGAGAACAGACUUUGAUUGGGCCCUUCUCUUUCUGUGCCUACUGAAGUUUCUGGGGGUGAUUCUCGCUUCUUCAGCUUGAAAUGUGGGAGAUAUGGAUCAAGAAGAAAACCCAGAUAAAUGCCUACCAUGUCAUUGCUUAGGUAGGAAGGUUCCUAAUUGGUCUUCUACCUUCUUCAUCGCUCAGUGUCUUCUACUAUUUGUUAUUCUUAACAGGUGGUAUGAAGAAAACAUGUGUUUUCUUCCAUUUUCCCAGAAGAUUCGGGAAAUUGAAUUUUCUUUUGUAAAAGUUAAAUGUAGAUAGUAGAGAUCAUUUCAUAUUUGUAUAAGUUGCAUACUUAAUCUAUUAUUAAAACCAUUGUGUUGUAUUUUAUGAAUAUAUAUUCUUUGCCAGUCCCCUACCAAUGAGCCAUGUAGGUUGUUUUUAGUCCUUUGCUAUAUUUUUAUUUAAAAAAGGAUUUAUGUAUGCAUUUGAAAGGCAGAGAGGGAGGCAGAAAUAGAGAGGGUUUGAUAUUCCCUUGCUGAUUUGCACUCCAAAUGGCUGGACUAGGCUAGUAGCUGGGAACUCAUCUGGAUAACCCAAAAGGGUGGCAGAGACUCAGACACUUGUGCCAUCUUGCACAUCUUUUGCAGGUGCCUUAGAGGAAGUCAGGAGGGUCAGAAUAGCUGGAUCAUGAGCUGACACCUGAAUGGGAUGCGGAUGUCACAAGCAGUGCCUCAGUCUGCAGCUCCCGCCUCAGGGUCUUGCUCUUCCAAACAGUGCUAAAUGAAUAACUUCAUAGUUAUUAGGAAUCUUCAAAGGGUUCAUGAGAAGUAGGUAUUCUAAAGAAAUUACACAUGAAUUAAAAUUUUUUUUUUGCAUCAAGUAAGCUUAUCUUUUUAGUUAGCUUUUCAUUACUUUCACUAAAAUGUCUGAGAAGAGCCAUGUAAUAGGAAAGAAGGUUUACGUCAGCUCACACCUUGCAGCUCAAGAUUGCUUGGCCGAUUAGCCUGGCAUCCAGCGGAGGUUGGUAGUCGCAGAUUCUGUGUAGAAGUGUGAUCCCAUGACAAACCAAAAAGCAGCAGGAAUAGGAUAUGUGUUAUUUUUUUGUGCCUGAUGUGGUCUCUCUAUGUAAGUGUGCUGAUAUUUGAUUGUGAGGCUCCACUUGAGCGAUCUAAACCAAUCGAUUGACUUACUAUAAUGACUUACCUUAAGCCAUGGUUGAAUCAGGCCCCUGCCUAAUUCACCAGUGGGUAACAUAAGACAUUGUGUUUAAACCUCUAUGUGAGUUUGGGGAAACCAAAUCCUGUUCAAAUUGCAGCACUUAAAUGAACUCUCUGAAUUGCGCAUGUACAUAAUAAUGUGCAUGAAGCCAAUAUGACUGAAAGAUAGAAUAUUGGGCAUAAAGUUGCUGAGUUAAAGGAUAUGUACAUUUUACACUCUGAUAGGUAAUGUAAAAUGAGCUUCCAGAGAGAUUGGUUGAUAAUUGUCCUGAUGUUAACGUAUAUAGAACCUUUUAGCAUUCCUCAAAUGGAUUUUAGUGAUGGGUUGUCGAAGGAAAAGAUUUUUUUCAGACCAAUAAUCCAGUCUUCUAGAGAUGUUUGAAUCAUGCUACGUGAGGUUUGUUUGCUGUUAGGUCUUAGAGUACUUCAUUCCUCAACGGCUCUUAACUUCCCAUUGGAGUGUGAAUUGUGCUCCUGUGGUUACUGAUGUUAAGCAUUUUCACUCAAACACAUUUCUUUUGGUUUGAACAAUGAUUUGUUCACUGAUUUAUUACUGAUUGUUCACUGAUUUAUUCCAGCCUGAGCUUUUUCCAAGGGAUUCUUCUUUUUUCUAAUUAAAUAUGAGGUGGGGAAUUCUGAUUCUGGCAGCCACGCGCAGGACUCAAAAUCCAAUGAAUCUAUAACAGACUAAUGUUUAAGUUGAUAACUUUGUGUGGCCCACGAGUGAUGUUA